rnacentral:rRNA from 1 species
GGGGCUAAACCAUGCACCGAAGCUGCGGCAGCGACGCUGAUGCGUUGUUGGGUAGGGGAGCGUUCUGUAAGCCUGCGAAGGUGUGCUGUGAGGCAUGCUGGAGGUAUCAGAAGUGCGAAUGCUGACAUAAGUAACGAUAAAGCGGGUGAAAAGCCCGCUCGCCGGAAGACCAAGGGUUCCUGUCCAACGUUAAUCGGGGCAGGGUGAGUCGACCCCUAAGGCGAGGCCGAAAGGCGUAGUCGAUGGGAAACAGGUUAAUAUUCCUGUACUUGGUGUUACUGCGAAGGGGGGACGGAGAAGGCUAUGUUGGCCGGGCGACGGUUGUCCCGGUUUAAGCGUGUAGGCUGGUUUUCCAGGCAAAUCCGGAAAAUCAAGGCUGAGGCGUGAUGACGAGGCACUACGGUGCUGAAGCAACAAAUGCCCUGCUUCCAGGAAAAGCCUCUAAGCAUCAGGUAACAUCAAAUCGUACCCCAAACCGACACAGGUGGUCAGGUAGAGAAUACCAAGGCGCUUGAGAGAACUCGGGUGAAGGAACUAGGCAAAAUGGUGCCGUAACUUCGGGAGAAGGCACGCUGAUAUGUAGGUGAAGCGACUUGCUCGUGGAGCUGAAAUCAGUCGAAGAUACCAGCUGGCUGCAACUGUUUAUUAAAAACACAGCACUGUGCAAACACGAAAGUGGACGUAUACGGUGUGACGCCUGCCCGGUGCCGGAAGGUUAAUUGAUGGGGUCAGCGCAAGCGAAGCUCUUGAUCGAAGCCCCGGUAAACGGCGGCCGUAACUAUAACGGUCCUAAGGUAGCGAAAUUCCUUGUCGGGUAAGUUCCGACCUGCACGAAUGGCGUAAUGAUGGCCAGGCUGUCUCCACCCGAGACUCAGUGAAAUUGAACUCGCUGUGAAGAUGCAGUGUACCCGCGGCAAGACGGAAAGACCCCGUGAACCUUUACUAUAGCUUGACACUGAACAUUGAGCCUUGAUGUGUAGGAUAGGUGGGAGGCUUUGAAGUGUGGACGCCAGUCUGCAUGGAGCCGACCUUGAAAUACCACCCUUUAAUGUUUGAUGUUCUAACGUUGACCCGUGAUCCGGGUUGCGGACAGUGUCUGGUGGGUAGUUUGACUGGGGCGGUCUCCUCCUAAAGAGUAACGGAGGAGCACGAAGGUUGGCUAAUCCUGGUCGGACAUCAGGAGGUUAGUGCAAUGGCAUAAGCCAGCUUGACUGCGAGCGUGACGGCGCGAGCAGGUGCGAAAGCAGGUCAUAGUGAUCCGGUGGUUCUGAAUGGAAGGGCCAUCGCUCAACGGAUAAAAGGUACUCCGGGGAUAACAGGCUGAUACCGCCCAAGAGUUCAUAUCGACGGCGGUGUUUGGCACCUCGAUGUCGGCUCAUCACAUCCUGGGGCUGAAGUAGGUCCCAAGGGUAUGGCUGUUCGCCAUUUAAAGUGGUACGCGAGCUGGGUUUAGAACGUCGUGAGACAGUUCGGUCCCUAUCUGCCGUGGGCGCUGGAGAACUGAGGGGGGCUGCUCCUAGUACGAGAGGACCGGAGUGGACGCAUCACUGGUGUUCGGGUUGUCAUGCCAAUGGCACUGCCCGGUAGCUAAAUGCGGAAGAGAUAAGUGCUGAAAGCAUCUAAGCACGAAACUUGCCCCGAGAUGAGUUCUCCCUGACUCCUUGAGAGUCCUGAAGGAACGUUGAAGACGACGACGUUGAUAGGCCGGGUGUGUAAGCGCAGCGAUGCGUUGAGCUAACCGGUACUAAUGAACCGUGAGG